rnacentral:lncRNA from 1 species
UUUUUUUUUUUUUUUGUUCAAAACAUCAACUAAUAUUUGUUUAAUUGAUUUAUCACAGGAUCACAAACUACUGCACUUUAUCCAAUGUAGAACAUUUGAGCCUAAAAUAUUCUUCAAGAUUGAAAAUUAUCUCAGAAUUUACUAAAUGGCUUCCAAUCAAAAUACCAAUCUUGCAUUGUAAUUUGAAAAGAUCUAAUAUUUCACAUUCCAAGUAAACAAGGAGAAACUCUUAAAUCUCAUUCUCAAAUAUACUUUCUUUCUAUAGAAUAGUUUCAU